UAUACAAAGGGGCGUGGUUGCGGAUGCCUUGUGCCGGGCCUGGAAAGCAGAUCAAAUCUACACAAACGAAACGAUUACCAUGCAGUAUUAUAUAAGACAACCUGAGUGACUAGACGCUACCCUGCCGCAACCAGACACGAGAACUCCGAAACCAUAAGAAACGAGGAGUGUUUUAAAUCAGCUCAUCGUUUCCUGAAUGAAUUACCCUCUUCUUCAGCUGAACAAUUCUUUGCGAGGAAUAUGAAUCAUAGGCAUAACAAGGCUAUCGGCAGGUGUCUCCCAAUGAAUUUGCAAAGAGAAGGGUUAACGAGAGCCCAAAAACGUCGCAUGGAAAUUGAUGCUAGCCAGGCAGAUGCUGAUGCAAUGCAGAUAGUUACAUCUGUGCAGUUCAGCAGUGUUGGAGGCCUCUCUAACCAUAUAGCAUCAUUAAAAGAGAUGGUGCUUUUUCCAUUAAAGUACCCAGAAGUGUUUGAAAGAUUUAAAAUCCAACCUCCACGGGGAUGUUUGUUCUAUGGCCCUCCUGGUACUGGUAAAACCUUGGUUGCCCGGGCCUUGGCUAAUGAGUGCAGUGUGGCUGAUAGAAGAAUUACUUUCUUCAUGAGGAAAGGAGCAGACUGCAUGAGUAAAUGGACAGGAGAGUCUGAGCGGCAGCUGAGACUCCUCUUCGAUCAGGCCUAUGAAACGCGUCCUUCAAUUAUCUUUUUUGAUGAGAUUGAUGGCUUGGCACCUGUCCGAACCAGCGAAGACCACAACCAUGGCUCCUUAGUUUCUACACUGUUAGCACUUAUGGAUGGUGUGGAUGACCGAGGGGAGAUUGUUGUCAUAGGAGCUACAAACAGAAUUGACUCCAUUGAUCCAGCUCUCAGGAGGCCUGGACGUUUUGACAGAGAAUUUCUUUUCUGCUUGCCAGAUAGAGAUGCAAGAUUUGAAAUUUUUAAAAUUCACACAACAGAAUGGAAUCCAAAGCCAUCAGAGGUGUUUCUGCAAGACUUGGCUGAAAAGUGUUUUGGUUACUGUGGAGCGGACAUAAAAGCUGUGUGUACUGAAGCAGUGCUGUGCGCUUUACGCAGGUGUUACCCGGAGAUUUACACCACAGCAGACAGUUUGCAGCUGGAUGUGUCUUCCAUUACAGUUACUGCUGCAGACAUUUUAACAGCAAUGCAGAAGAUUGUGCCAGCAUCACAGCGAGCCGUAGUGUCUCCUGGACAAGCUCUCUCAUGUGUUAUCAGUCCUUUACUUCAGAGAACACUUAACAACAUUUUGAAAGCUUUAAGGAAAGUGUUCCCACAUGCCGAUGAAGAACUCCACAAAGAGACAGCAUCUGCGUUUUCAAGUCAUAUGUUGUAUAAAGACUUGCCAUGUAGCAGUGAUGCAGGUUCGUCUGUCUUGGAAAGUGAGACUCUCCACAAUCUCCCAAACAACAAACAGAAUGCAACUCAUCAGCCGCCAUCCUACAGACCUAGACUGUUACUGUCUGGGAGACCCGGUCUAUGUCAAGGAACAUACUUGGCACCCGCAGUCAUACAUGCGUUGGAAAAGUUUGCAGUGCACACACUAGAUUUUCCUGUUCUAUUUGGUACUCAUUCGACUACUCCAGAAGAGAUCUGUGCACAGGUGUUUCGUGAAGCAAAAAGAACUGCGCCAAGCAUCCUUUAUAUACCAGAUAUUCCUUUGUGGUGGGAAACUAUUAGCUGCACCCUGGAGGCAACAUUCAUCACAUUACUUAAGAACAUCCCCUCCUUGUCUCCAGUCCUUCUGCUUGCAACAUCUGAUAUGGAUUACUUUGAUCUGCCCUCUGAACUACAAGAGCUGUUUCCUGAUGACCAUGGCAAUGUUUUUCAUGUUCAGCUGCCCAGCAAUGAGGACAGGAGGGCGUACUUUGAAGAUAUUAUUUUGAACCAAGCUGCCGUAAGUCCCACUUACAAAAAGAAGGCAGGUAAGUGUGUUCAGCGAAUGACACAUCACACGCAAGUGAAGCAGCAGCAUCUCAUCAGUGUGGACACAAUCACAGACAUACCUUCUGAGCCAGCAUCGGCUGUUCACACUGAUAAUAAGCAUCUUAAGACACUCCUAGACAAAGCUGUCAAUAAAAGUUGUGGCUAUAAUGUGUUACAACUGGAGAGGUUGUAUGUUGUGCUAAGCCAGUGCAUUUACAGAUAUCGUAAAGACAAAACUCAGUUGCUACUGCAAAUGGAUCAAGAAAUUACAUCUUUCAGAAACUGAGACAUCACAUUUCAUAUUGCCUUAAGGGCGAGCACAACGGCAAGCUGCUGCUGCUGGGAGCCCCGACCAAUCCCCUUCUCAGCCCCCCUCCCCUUCUGUCGCGCAAUCCCCCUCUCCUUCCCAGUCCCCUUCUCAGCCCCCCUCCCCUUCUGUCGCCCAAUCCCCCUCUCCUUCCCAGUCCCCUUCUCAGGCCCCCUCCCCUUCUGUCGCCCAAUCCCCCUCUCCUUCCCAGUCCCCUUCUCAGGCCCCCUCCCCUUCUGUCGCCCAAUCCCCCUCUUCUUCCCAGUCCCCUUCUCAGGCCCCCUCCCCUUCUGUCGCCCAAUCCCCCUCUCCUUCCCAGUCCCCUUCUCAGGCCCCCUCCCCUUCUGUCGCCCAAUCCCCCUCUCCUUCCCAGUCCCCUUCUCAGGCCCCCUCCCCUUCUGUCGCCCAAUCCCCCUCUCCUUCCUAGUCCCCUUCUCAGGCCCCCUCCCCCUCUCUUUACCAAUACCCAUCUCUGUCCCCCUCCCCCUCUGAAGGCCAAACAACCACUCCGGCCACCUCCCCCUCUCUGGCCCCCUCCCCCUCUGUUGCCCAAACACCCUCUCCGCCCCCCUCCCCCUCUCAAUCAGACCCACCCUCUGAAAACAGCUCCCCGGUCCCUCCUCCUUCCCCAAUCCCUCCUCCUUCCCCAAUCCAGCCUCCUUCCCCAAUCCAGCCUCCUACCCCCAUCCAGCCUCCUUCCCCCAUCCAGCCGCCUUCCCCACCCAGUGAAUGGGCAGCAGAAGCCCCAGCGGAUAUUCCGGGGAGUCCGCAUGUGGCAGAUGAGAAUGGUGCAGUUGGAGAACCCACAAGCCUGGCAGGCAUCGUGGGCAGCCUAAAGGCCCAUUUGCAGGCCAUGCUGGCCGACGUAGAAAGGCUACAUAACUUUUGUUAAUUUUUU